GCCCGGCCGGCCGGGGCGGCUCCGACUGCGCUGCCCGGCGCUGCCGCCGACGCGCGGGAGGCGAGGCGAGCCCAGCUGAGUUGAUGAGGAGUGCACAGGACGGAAUUUCCGCCAGGUAUUUGCAUGACAGCAGAAGCCCUGGGGGUGAACAGGACAGUGCUGGCCGGAGCCCUUUCUCCCUCAGAGGAUAGCUUGAGGUAACAGGUGCCUGGUCAGGUGCUCAGUGCAAAAGCCAGAUGCUGUGGCACGGGGGCUUUCUCCUGUGUGGAGCGGUCGACGGAAUUCCCAGCUGUUGUGUUCCAGCCCAACCUGCGUGCCUGAGCCACUGUGGCAAGGUGUUGCCAUGUACUCCAGCUUUGUGCUGGCUCUGAGAUCAAGGCAUACAGUGGAGUCUUCUCAGGGAAGAUGUCGUCUUUGACAAUGAAAACCCGUUGUGUGGACAAAAGAGGAAGUUUCUUUAAGCUCAUUGACACAAUUGCCUCAGAAAUUGGAGAACUGAAACAGGAGAUGGUGCAGACAGAUCUCACUGUGGAAGAUGAACCUGCUGAUUGGCAAAGUCUUAUAAAGGACAUGGAUAAUGUCUCUCCUGAGAAAAGUGAUGUAAAAAGCUGCCCCCGGGACUCUGGAUAUGACAGCCUAUCCAACAAACUAAGCAUAUUGGACAAGCUCCUCCAUACUCACCCUGUGUGGCUGCAGCUUGGUCUGAGUGAUACUGAAGCCAUGGAAAUUUUGCAGACACAGCCUCCUGGGAUAUUUCUGGUUAGGAAAUCUGCAAGGCUGCAGAAGAAAGUCAUCUCUCUGCGUCUGUCUAGUGACUGUGGGGCCUGCCUGAAAGAAUUUGCCAUAAAAGAAAGUACAUACACGUUUUCCUUGGAGGGGUCUGGAAUAAGUUUUGCUGAUUUGUUCAGACUCAUUGCUUUCUACUGUAUUAGCAGGGAUGUCCUUCCAUUCACACUGAAGUUGCCUCAUGCAAUUGCUGCAGCAAAGACAGAAGCUGAACUUGAAGAGAUUGCUCAGCUUGGACUGAACUUUUGGAGCUCCCUGGCUAACAGCAAACCCCCGGAUCCUUCACCUCCCUGUAGGCCUGUGCCUUUGGACAGUGCUCACAAAGACUCACGCCAGCUCUGCCUUAUAAAUGGAGUGCAUUCUAUACGAACCAGAACGCCUUCAGAGCUGGAGUGCAGCCAGACCAACGGAGCGCUGUGUUUCAUUAAUCCCCUCUUCUUGAAAGUGCACAGCCAGGAUGUCAGUGGAAGUCUGAAAAGGCAGAGCCCGAGAACUCCAGACGUGAAUGGCACAGCGAGGCCUCGCUCCCCCCCGCCCCGGCCGCCACCUCCUGCUAUUAAUAGCAGCCUCACGAGCCCACAGAUUUCCAGGACUAUAAAGCAGGCGAGCAUGCCAGAAACAGUCAACCAUAAGAAGGAGAGAGGCUUGGAUUUGCUGCAGAACAAGCCCACCCCAAUACCGCCUCCUCGGCUGAAGAAGCAGGCUGUGUGCUCCGAGGCAGACGGUGCCUCCAGGAGUGCGGUGCUGCUCCGGCCCGGCUCCGUGCGUGUGCCCGAGGCAGCUGCCGUUCCAGGUGAAACCCUGCCUGAGCCGGCUCCAGCGGCUCCCAGAAAGACGGCGGCUGCCAUCUCUGAGUCACACAUCCCGUGGAAUGGAGGCCGGCAGAGACUGAGCGACAUGAGCAUUUCCACCUCCUCGUCGGACUCGCUGGACUUCGAUCGGAGCAUGCCACUCUUCGGCUAUGAGGGGGACACCAACAGCAGCCUGGAGGACUUUGAGGGGGAAAGUGACCAGGAGAGCAUGGCACCCCCUUUGAAGCCCAAGAAGAAAAGAAGCAGUUCGUUUGUUCUCCCCAAGAUUGUGAAAUCUCAGCUACGGAAAGUCAGCGGAGUUUUCAGUUCCUUCAUGACCCCUGAGAAGAGGAUGAUUAAGAAAAUUGCAGAGAUGUCCCGGGACAAACGCACCUAUUUUGGGUGCUUAGUACAGGACUAUGUCAGCUUUCUCCAAGAAAACAAGGAGUGCCAUGUUUCAAGUACUGAUAUGCUGCAAACAAUUCGUCAGUUCAUGACCCAAGUCAAGAACUAUUUGUCCCAAAGUUCCGAACUUGAUCCCCCAAUUGAAUCACUGAUUCCAGAAGACCAAAUAGAUGUUGUGCUGGAGAAGGCCAUGCAUAAGUGCAUUCUGAAGCCGUUGAAGGGUCACAUUGAAGCGAUGUUGAAAGAGUUUCAUACCACGGAUGGUUCCUGGAAACAACUGAAGGAAAACCUGCAGCUGGUGCGGCAGAGGAAUCCUCAGGAACUGGGCGUGUUUGUUCCAACACCAGACUUUGUGGACAUUGAAAAGAUUAAAGUCAAGUUCAUGACUAUGCAGAAGAUGUAUUCACCUGAAAAGAAAGUCAUGCUGCUGCUGAGAGUUUGCAAACUGAUUUACACUGUUAUGGAGAAUAACUCAGGGAGGCUGUACGGAGCUGAUGACUUCUUGCCUGUGCUGACGUAUGUGCUAGCCCAGUGUGAUAUGCUGGAGCUGGAUACUGAAAUCGAAUACAUGAUGGAGUUGCUGGAUCCAUCCUUGCUGCAUGGAGAAGGAGGCUAUUACUUGACAAGCGCUUAUGGAGCACUUUCACUCAUCAAGAACUUCCAGGAAGAGCAAGCUGCCCAGCUGCUCAGUUCGGAGGCCAGGGAUACUCUCCGACAGUGGCACAAGAGGAGGACAACAAACAGGACAGUACCUUCAGUUGAUGAUUUUCAGAGUAGGCCAGUACCUUCAACUGGAGAAUAACAAAGUAGUGGUUAUUACUUCAUCUUCUGAAACCAGGCCUGCAUCUCUUCCAUCUGCUUUGGACUGACUGUUCAGGUGCAGCAGUUUGUGAAAGCGAGAGGGUGUUGGAAUUGGGAAGAGAGGAUUUACUCCUUGGAGUCCAGCUGUCUGCAGUUAGGAAGAGGAGAAGCGAUUACAAGCAGUUCCAGUGUCCAAAGCCCGUCCAUCUCCCUGGGAUCCACGUUCUGUUCUGCUGACCUGUGCUUAGGUGUCAUAUUCCAGCAGCUGGAGUCUUUGUUCUUUCUGGCAAAACUCUGCACUUUCCAUAGGAGCAUCCAGCAUGUUGCAUUUCUGCUGGGGACAGAAGAUUCUUUCUGCAGGAUCUUGCAGGAAGUUUCAUCUUCUCUUUCUCUGCAAAUGAACUCGGUCCAGGCUCAAUGUUCACUUGGAUGCAGGAAGAUGCCGGGGGCAGGGAAGAGCUGUCACCGAGGGCAUCCAGUGCUUCUCCUGCUGUUGCCUCUUUCAAAACAAAGCCUUGGAUUAGUGGAGCAUACUACUCCCAACAUGUGCUUGGCACAAAUGCAAGCACUUUGCUCUCUGCUCAGAAUGGCAGUUUUCUCUCUUCUCUCUCUGAGUCUUGCAGUCCUGAAAUGGAGCACCUUCCCUACAACCAGCAUGGAGCACACCUGCAGCUCCAGUCACCUUUCUCCCAGGGAAGCAGGGUGUGGUCAUGGCAUUUCUGUGCUGCGGUCUCACAGCUUUGCCAGCUCUUGGGCCCUGGAGGGUGUCUUUCCAACUUCCCCAAAUGGAUGGAAGAGCAAAAACCACAGUACUUUGAUGAUAAUAAAAUACAGCUUUCUGAUUCUGUGGGAAUAAUUUUGAUGCUUAGUCUAUGAGUUAUAGGCAUCUGUCAAAAAAGUCAGCUUUUCCUUCCAGCAAUCCUGUCCAUCAUUCGAUUCAAAGCAGGUCUUGUGUGUGGCAGCUGCAUUAAAAAUUAAAUCUUGUGUAUUCUUCCAUAUCUAGGACUGGGUUUUUUCUUCAAGUUCUCCAAACCAGAACUACCUUCGUGUUGCAUUCCAGGAAGUUACCAGUGGCUGUACAGGAAAGACUUUGCUAGUAAGGCCGUAUAUCACUACCGAAGA